UACGUAGGGACCAAGCGUUGUUCGGAUUUACUGGGCGUAAAGGGCGCGUAGGCGGCAAUUCAAGUCAUCUGUGAAAUCUCCGGGCUUAACUCGGAACGGUCAGAUGAUACUGCUUUGCUAGAGUGCGGAAGGGGCAAUCGGAAUUCUCGGUGUAGCGGUGAAAUGCGUAGAUAUCGGGAGGAACACCGGUGGCGAAGGCGGAUCUCUGGGCCAUUACUGACGCUGAGGAGCGAAAGCGUGGGGAGCGAACAGG
rnacentral:rRNA from 1 species